AUUGAACGCUGGCGGAAUGCUUUACACAUGCAAGUCGAACGGCAGCACGGACUUCGGUCUGGUGGCGAGUGGCGAACGGGUGAGUAAUGUAUCGGAACGUGCCCAGUCGUGGGGGAUAACGUAGUGAAAAUUACGCUAAUACCGCAUACGAUCUAUGGAUGAAAGCGGGGGAUCGCAAGACCUCGCGCGAUUGGAGCGGCCGAUAUCAGAUUAGGUAGUUGGUGGGGUAAAGGCCCACCAAGCCAACGAUCUGUAGCUGGUCUGAGAGGACGACAGGCCACACUGGAACUGAGACACGGUGCAGACUCCUACGGGAGGCAGCAGUGGGGAAUUUUGGACAAUGGGGGAAAGCCUGAUCCAGCCAUUCCGCGUGCAGGAUGAAGGCCCUCGGGUUGUAAACUGCUUUUGUACAGAACGAAAAGGUUUCUACUAAUACUAGGAGCUCAUGACGGUACUGUAAGAAUAAGCACCGGCUAACUACGUGCCAGCCGCCGCAGUAA
rnacentral:rRNA from 1 species